UACAGAGGUCUCAAGCGUUGUUCGGAUUCAUUGGGCGUAAAGGGUGCGUAGGUGGCGGGGUAAGUCAGGUGUGAAAUCUCGGGGCUCAACCCCGAAACUGCACUUGAUACUGCCUUGCUCGAGUACUGGAGAGGAGAUUGGAAUUUACGGUGUAGCAGUGAAAUGCGUAGAUAUCGUAAGGAAGACCAGUGGCGAAGGCGAAUCUCUGGACAGUUACUGACACUGAGGCACGAAAGCGUGGGGAGCGAACAGG
rnacentral:rRNA from 1 species